rnacentral:lncRNA from 1 species
AGAAGCUGUUUAAGUUUUGUAUCUACCAAGGAGUCUAAGCAUGAAAUGCCAGUGCACAUGGUCUUUCCAUGAAGCUCUUGCCUUUCCUGCAGGAACAGCAGCUUGGCAACAGGAAAACUUGGCACUCUGAACUUGCUAACUCCAGCAGGCAUCCAACACGUGCUUUUGAGAAGGUGAUUAUUCUAUGUCACUGGGGCAGGUGUCUUUUCCUGUGAAGAUUUCUGCUGUCAUUAAGGAAUGAUGUCCUAAAGGGGUUUGUAUUUUUAGCAGCUAUGAUUUAUGUCCUGUGGGUUCUGUCUUUAAACCAUGCCUCAAAGAGGGAUAGGUUAUUUUACAGAGAAACCCAUAAAGUAAUAUAUGCUUCAGGUCUGACUUGCUUUAAAGCUGUGCAUUAAUUCUUGAGAACUGAGG